ensembl:lncRNA
UUUUUUUUUAUUUUAUUUUCAUGCUCAAUUAGAUGUGAUGCAAAACAAUUCAUAUUUGCUUGUGAAGUGUAAUCUUCCACAGCUGUAAAAUACACUUAGAAAUUGAUGGAUUUCAUUUUUCUGUUUGUGGAUUGGCAUCAUUUGAAGAAACAUAUUUUUUCUGGAAAAAAAAAUCAAAUAGCUAGAUUUUUUAAACUAUUUUUAAAAAGUGUAUCUCUUUUGCUGACAGGUAUUCUUGUCAUUAGGAAAUACGUACAUUUGAAAUCAGUAUAUUAUAACACUCACAAAUAUCUUGGCUUAUGAUUUUUAGCAAUAAAAAGAAGUGCAAAAUUGUGUGGACUUGCAGCCAUAUCUAGAAGUACCUGACUGCUUUUGGAAGAGGAGGCUAAGGAAUGGAAGAUCCUGAAUAAACAUCAGCCUGGUAAUGGGGUGUCAAAUAUGUGAACUUUAAGGAAACACAAGAAUUUUUUACUUACCUGUGCUAUAAUGAAACCACUUCCAAAUUUGUCUGCCCUUUACUAUCACCCAACAAUUCUUACAAGCCAAUGGUAAGCAGACUUAGAUGAGGAUGACUACGUCCCUGGAAGCAUUCAAAGCCAAGCUGGAUGUAGCUCUGGGCAGCUUGGUUUAGUGGUUGGUGAACCUGCAUAUAGCAGGGGGGUUGAAACUAGAUGACCAUUAUGGUCCUUUUCAUCUCAGGCCAUUUUAUGAUUCUAUGAUUCUACAACUUACUACCUUGACCCUAGGAAGGGGACCUUUUACUCUUUGGCACUAUUGAAUGAGUGUACAUUUCUAGAGCACAGGCUCAGGAUCUUGAACCUGAUAUCUGAAAAUAAAGUUCUGGGCCUCCUUUCUGAUUAUCUAAUUUCUGAAGGAUGAUAUAUCCAAUCUCAUGGCACAUAUAUACUCCCCAAAAAAAGAAGACAGCUGGGCUCUGGUUCACUGGAGAAUAAAUAUGGAAUAGAAAGGGACACAACCUUCUUUGCCAUGUCUGUUCCUCCAGGAUUGCCUUGCUCUGUAUUGCAGAGUUGUAGCUCCUUGUGGUCCAUUUCUCAGCAUAGAUAUUAGUAGUUUUUCUACUUCAUAACUCGACACUCAUCUUGCAGAUAAGAAAGAAGAAAACAAAGAAUUAAUUAUAUAUUAGAAAAUACAUUUUGCUGAAGUUGAUAUAUGGAAUUUGUCCUACUCCCUACAUCCCAAAUGAUGAAUAUUUCAUUGUAAUUGAUCUUUAUAAUUAAAAAAAAAAA